AUUGAACGCUGGCGGCGUGCCUAAUACAUGCAAGUCGAACGCAGGGGGGACGGGUGAGUAACACGUGGGUAACCUCCCAUCAGAGGGGAUAACACUUGGAAACAGGUGCUAAACCGAUAGUGAUGGAUGGACCGGAGGUGCAUUAGCUAGUUGGUGAGGUAACGGCUCCCCAAGGCCACGAUGCAUAGCCGACCUUCUAGGGUGAUCCGCCACACUGGGACUGAGACACGGCCCAGACUCCUACGGGAGGCAGCAGUAGGGAAUCUUCGGCAAUGGACGAAAGUCUGACCUAGCAACGCCGCGUGAGUGAAGAAGGUUUUCGGAUCGUAAAACUCUGUUGUUAGAGAAGCGGUAUCUAACCAGAAAGCCACGGCUAACUACGUGCCAGCAGCCGCGGUAAUUC
rnacentral:rRNA from 1 species